rnacentral:lncRNA from 1 species
GGACACUAAAGCCCAUGACGAACUAGGACCAAUGAAGAGAUAAGCUCAGUUACCUAUGGGCCCAAUCACCCAAAGUCAGACCCACAAACUUCAAGGAAUUUUUAACCUGAUAGUGCAAGAAUAGAUGAGCAACACAAUCAUCAAUAAAGCACAAAGAAAGGCCCAAAGUCAAGCGCAAUAAUGGAAAACGUGUGCAACAUG